UACGUAGGGGGCAAGCGUUGUCCGGAUUUAUUGGGCGUAAAGAGCGUGUAGGCGGUUUGGUAGGUCCGCUGUGAAAACUCGAGGCUCAACCUCGAGACGCCGGUGGAAACCAUCAGACUAGAGUCCGGAAGAGGAGAGUGGAAUUCCUGGUGUAGCGGUGAAAUGCGUAGAUAUUGGGAGGAACACCAGUGGCGAAGGCGGCUCACUGGACCGGUACUGACGCUGAUGCGCGAAAGCGUGGGGAGCAAACGGG
rnacentral:rRNA from 1 species